GCGCCUUUAGUUCAGUGGUAGAACGUCGGUCUCCAAAACCGGAUGUCGUGGGUUCAAAUCCUACAAGGCGCG
rnacentral:tRNA from 3 species